AUUGAACGCUGGCGGCAUGCUUUACACAUGCAAGUCGAACGGCAGCACGGGUGCUUGCACCUGGUGGCGAGUGGCGGACGGGUGAGUAAUGCAUCGGAACGUGUCCUAAAGUGGGGGAUAACGCAUCGAAAGAUGUGCUAAUACCGCAUAUUCUCUGAGGAGGAAAGUAGGGGAUCGAAAGACCUUAUGCUUUUGGAGCGGCCGAUGUCUGAUUAGCUAGUUGGUAAGGUAAUGGCUUACCAAGGCGACGAUCAGUAGUUGGUCUGAGAGGACGACCAGCCACACUGGGACUGAGACACGGCCCAGACUCCUACGGGAGGCAGCAGUGGGGAAUUUUGGACAAUGGGCGCAAGCCUGAUCCAGCAAUGCCGCGUGAGUGAAGAAGGCCUCGGUUGUAAGUACGUCUUUCUAGUUGUAAAGAAAAGACCGUAGACGUAAUAAUAC
rnacentral:rRNA from 1 species